UUCCUCUAGCAUGAGGUUCCUAAAUACCUUUUAUGUUAAAGGGCACAGAGUCUAGUGAUAGAAUACGAGGCAUUUGAGUAGGGACAUGACCCUGGCAUGGAAAGUAACCCUGUGAUGUCCACCACGACUCCCUAGAGCAUAUUUGGCUGCCUGGGUUCAAAUCUUAGCUGUUUCUUACCAGCACUGUGACCUUGGGCAAGCCAUUUAACCUCUGUGUGUCUCCAUAUUCUGAUAUAAAAAUGGGGCCACAAUAUCUACCUUUAUUAUGAUUGCAAGGAUUAAAUGAUAUAAAACAUGUAAAAGUUCUUUGAAGAAUACCCAGCACAAGAGAAGCAAUCUUUAAAUAUUAUUAUAAAUCAAUAAAACAUAUGUAUAGUUCCUAAUUUCAGUCAACUUUCAACACAAUGUAUUUUCCACGUUUCUUAUUUGGAAGUACAUCAUCUGUUAUUAAUGUUUUCUAUAGUUAGCUGGUUUAGUUGUGUGAACACAAGGCUGAGGGGCAGUAAAUGUCGAUGUGGUAAAAUGUUGAUUCGAUAACAUGUCUUCUCUAACAAGCAGUCUGAACUCUCAUGGGAAUCAAAAGUUGUGUUAAGUUGAGGUGUCUUGAAUAUUCUAUCAGGUUGAGCUAGCAAGUAAGAUGCUGGAUAUAUGAGCAUGAAGCUCAGGAACAGUUUGGGAGAUGGUUCAUCAUCAGCAUAUAGACAAUAUUGAAGUCCAUAGAUUAGCAUGCAAUCAGGAAAGGAGUGGAUAUACACAGAGAAGGGAGCCAGGCACUGAACCAGAGGCAGCCAACAAUGACAAGGAAGAAGGGGGAUGCCAAAGAGACUGAGAAGGAGCAACCACUGAGGUAGCAGGAAAAACUGGAGAAUAUGGUAUCAGGGAAGAACAGAAAGUUCUUUGCUCAGAGAGAGAGUAAUGGUGGAAAGAGGGCAAGCAAAAUUAGAUCAGGAAAUUAACUACUGGAUAUGGGCAUGUUGGAGGGUGGGAGUCACCAGAAAGAUGAGGAUAAGGGUUUUAAUGGGGUGAUACUAAUAGAAGCCUGACUGGAGUAGCUUAAAAAUCUAACACAAACAACAUAUGGGCUCUCUCUGUACAAUUACAGAUUUGCUUAUAAGAGCUUGUUUUUAAUAUCUUUUAUGGUAGACUGGUGUAGCCCUAUAGGAGAAAACAGGUUUGAGGCAGGCAAGAAUAGCCAUUCAUGUCCCUAGCUACUACAGUUUCAUGCAACAGGUAGGAUUUAAAGAUGCUUUGAGACGAGGCUGGUUUUUUAGCAGUUGGGAAAUAGAAAACACUCCCAGACACAGGGAAAAACAUAAGCCACAUGAAGGAAGUCUCUCUCUCUUUCUCUCUCUCUCUCUCUCUCUCUCUCACACACACACACACACACACACACACACACACAAGCCCUUUCAGGACUUCCUCCCACAAUAUUUCCUGAUGCCUCUCCCUUCCAGUUUUGAUCCAUUUUCCAUAAAAGGAUCAUUUCCUGUUUGCGUCUCUGAAUUGCCUGGCCUCCAAGGUCAUCAAGAAAGCCAGGAUCUUCUUGUGGCCAAAAGGGCUAAAGAAUUCAUUUGGAGUCACGCCUAGACAUCAUAUCAUGGGUACUCAGUUUGGCCCAAAUUGUGAUGCCCAGAUGAUCCACUGGAGCUCUGCUGUUGUCACAAAAGUAAUCUUCAAGAAGUCAACGAGAUAAGGAGGCAUUCUUUUAAAAAAAUAUUUUAGGAUAGUUUUAGUCUUAGAAAAAUUGUGCAGAUAGCAUAGAGACUAUCAUGUGCCCCACAUCCCGUCUCCCCUGUUGCUACAUCUCACCUCAUUAUGCUACAUACAUUUGUCACAAUUAAUGAACUAAUAUCAGUACAUUACUAUUAUUAACCAAUGUACACAUUUUUUUUUUCAGAUUUCCUUAGAAUGCCCUAUUUCUCUUCCAGGAUCCUUAGCCAUAAUUCCCAGGAGGCAUUUAAAGACCCUUACAAAUCUUUUAAGAAAGCAGCAAUGUUUGGGGCACCUGGGUGGUUCUGCUGAUUGAGUGGCUGACUCUUGGUUUCUGCUCAGGUUGUGAUCUCAGGAUUGUGGGAUUGACCCCUGUGUCAGACUCUGGGCUUGGUGUAGAGUCUGCUUGGGAUUCUCUCUUUCUCUUUCUCUCUCUCUCCCUCUGUGCCUCCCCUGCUCACAUGCACACUCUCUUUCUCUCUCUAAAGUAAAUAAAUCUUUUUUUAAAAAAAGAAAGCAGCAGGGUUUAAAUUGCUUUUGGUUCCAAUAUUUCUAACUGAAACCACUAAAGGAAAUUUAAUUCUUACUUUUCUAAAAUCAAAUUGUUGGAAUAGUUGAAUACAGAUGAAAGGGAAAAGCUUAAGGCUUACGUUGUGAGGAAAUAGUUCAAGGCAUUUUAUGGGACUGUAAUAAUGUAUAACACUAAGUGGAAGAGCUUACUCCUUUUUUAUUGUUUUGGAAGCAGGUAAUUAAAAUAUUAAAGGUUUGCAAGCUUUUCUUUUCCCCCCCUCAUCUCUUAGCAAAGGGAUUGCUCUGACUCAUUCUCCUUGGCAACCUCACAUUCAUAUAAUAUAGGCCCAGUAAUUUCAGCAAAGCUGUUCCAGGAUAGUUUUAAAAACUGGGUGCUUAAAUGUUGGGUUGUGGGGAAGUUUGCAGUAGGGGUUAUUAUAACUCCUCAACCGGGAGCAAUUAGGGCAAUGGCUUCUAAUGCUCACGGCUAUCUGUGAAAUCAAUGCUUACAAACUCUGCUCACUCUUCCCAUAAGGCCUGGAUGGGUGUGUGCAGUGAGGUAGAAGGACAGGGAUCUGGGGCCUUGACUUGGGGCUCAUAGUCCCCAUUCCAGGCGACUGUAUUUCGCCCUGUGUCUCCAUCAGACUUACAGGAAAGUUCCAAGGCAACUGCAAACCUAGGUGGCACUCAUUGCUAAAGCCACAGAGGUUGGGGAUGUUUCAUAGGAUUUUUGCCAGGUGUCACUCAAUGGCUUUAGCGGGGACUCAUAGACAAGGCUUAGGAUAUCAAGUUCAUAUUUCCCAUCCUCUCACCCAUUCACAAAGUCUCAAUAUGCCUGCUUUGUCACAGCUAGGCCAAACACCAAAAUUCCUUCUAAAAAAGAUGA
rnacentral:lncRNA from 1 species